rnacentral:tRNA from 1 species
GUCGUAGCUCAAUGGGAGAGCAUCUGCCUGGCAUGCAGAAGGUGCCAGGUUCAAUCCCCAACAUCUCCA